AGAGAACGACAUAAUCUAAUCGGUAGCUGUACCUGCACCUGGGUCAAGACAUUGAUGCCAAUCAGAACUUGCACUUGUCUCUGACAAAAAUGUGUUGCAAAUAUUCGCCAGGAAGCUUUCUCUUGAGAAGAUACAAAACAGAGAAACGUGGAAAGAUGCAGCAAGUGAAAUUUAACCCAAGAUGAUUUCUGCUGACCAGCCAUCAUCCAUUGAAUUUCUCUUCUAAUAUGAACCGGACUUCAAUCCUCCCAGCUGAUUUAGAAAAAAACCUGAUCUAAG